CUGGGUCACGCCCUCCAACGACAAAUAACGUGUAUCCCAUGUUCUUCGCUUCCUCAUUAAAGCUGAUCUCCUUGAUUUUCUCUAUACGAAUAACGCGUAAUAUUGGGAAUUUGAAAAAGCUUAAACCUAAGCAUUUUGAUUUGUUCCGCAAUUUUGUUGGAUUGGGAUACAGAGGGAGAAGAGGAGACAUUCAAAUGUGAAAUUAGUCCAAAUGUGAAAUGCCGUCAAAUGUGAAAUUAGUCCAUCGCGAGGAGACAUUCAAAUGUGAAGAUGAUUUUUCCGGUCGUUUUUUCUCAUCUUUUUCGCAUAUGGAUUCUGGAGAGAUAUGUAGUUUAGGAGACGACGACAUCUACGCCAGGUACGAAUAGUGAGAUUGUGGCACGUUCCAAACCGCGACAAACCAGACAACAUCGUCUCCCUUGAAUUAAUUAUUCAAGACGAAAAGGGCGAUCGUAUUCAUGCGACUGUUGGUCGGUCUCUUAUACGUAUGUUCAAACCAAAGAUAAAAGAAUUGGGUUUGUACUUUAUGAAGAACUUUGUGGUUGGACCAAAUUAUACGAAACUUAAAUACACGCGGCAUAAAUUAAAGUUGGCAUUUACACAUAAGACGAUUGUAGAGGAAGCAAAUGAUCAUCUUUUUGGUAUGAGUAUCUUCGAUUUAAAACCUUAUGAGUAUUUGAUAAACAAAAUUGAUGUUCAAGAAAGUGAACUCUUCGAUGUCAUUGGAGAGAUUGUAAGUUAUGGUGAAGUAGAAUCACAUAACCAAGGAGGAAUAAUAUCUCGGCAACAUUUUGGGAAGAAUUCGUUGACCAAAUAUUUCCACAUUUAGAGGGAUCACCACAUGAGCCGGUCAUAGUUGUUAUGCAGUUGAUGUGAGCACGUGAUUUUUUGCCUUACGAAAAACUACUCCAAAAUAAAUCAAAAAAUAAAUUAAAUUU